GGAGAGUUGUCAGAGCGGCCGAAUGAGCACGCUUGGAAAGCGUGUGUAGUGCAAACUACCUAGGGUUCGAAUCCCUAACUCUCCGCCA
rnacentral:tRNA from 1 species